UGGCAAAUGAUGAUGUUACUUGGAUUCCCCUUCAGAACAUUUUGUAAUGUUGCAAACUCCAAGUUUCUGAUGCU
rfam:Brassica napus, WGS project CCCW01000000 data, contig: 4161